rnacentral:rRNA from 1 species
GAUUAUGGCUCAGGAUGAACGCUAGCUACAGGCUUAACGCAUGCAAGUCGAGGGGCAUCAUGAUCAAAGCUUGCUUUGGUGAUGGCGACCGGCGCACGGGUGAGUAACGCGUAUCCAACCUUCCCCCCAGUAGGGCAUACGCCCGGCGAAAGUCGGAUUAAUACCCUAUGUUUUCCAAUGAGGACAUCUGAGCUGGAACAAAGAUUUAUCGCUGGGGGAUGGGGAUGCGUCCGAUUAGGUUGUUGGCGGGUAACGGCCCACCAAGCCCGCGAUCGGUAGGGGUUCUGAGAGGAAGGUCCCCCACACUGGUACUGAGACACGGACCAGGCUCCUACGGGAGGCAGCAGUGAGGAAUAUUGGUCAAUGGGCGUAAGCCUGAACCAGCCAAGUAGCCGUGCAGGACGACGGCCCUAUGGGUUGUAAACUGCUUUUAUGCGGGGAUAAAGUGAGGUAUGUAUACCUUUUUGUAGGUACCGCAUGAAUAAGGACCGGCUAAUUCCGUGCCAGCCGCUGC